AUGUUCAUCAAUCGUUGAUUGUUUUCAACUAACCAUAAAGAUACCGGAACAUUCUACCUGCUAUUGGGCGCAUGAGCGGGGAUUAGUGGGCACCGCCCUAAGCCUUCUCAUUGGAGCAGAAUUAGGCCAAUCAGGAACUCUGCUAGGAGAUGAUCAGAUGUAGAACGUUAUUGUUACCGUCCACGCACUCAUCAUAAUCUUUAUGGUAAUACCAAUGAUAACUGGGGGUUUGGCAACUGACUAGUCCCUCUGAUAAUUGGUGCACCCGAUAUGGUAUGCCCCGGGAUAAAAAAUAUAAGCUUCUGACUUCUCCCCUCCUCCCCUUUCCUACUCCUACUUGCAUCAUCAAUAGCAGAAGACGGCGCGGGACCAGCUGAACAAUAAUACCCCGCCUUUAGCAGGAAGCCUAAUAAAUGCGGGAGCGUCUGUGCAUCUAACCAUUUUGUCAAUCCACCUAGCAGGUGUUUCUUCUAUUUUAGGGGCCAUUAAUUUUAUUACCACAAUUAUCGGUAUAAAACCCCGAGCCAUAUCCCAGUAUCAAAGCACCCCUUUUCGUGUGAUCAGUCCUCAUUACGGCAAUCCUUCUACUCCUUUCUCUCCCAGUCCUAGCCGCCAGCAUUACCAUACUAUUAACUGACUGUAACCUCAACACUACUGUUUUUUGAUCCUGCUGGUGGGGUUGACCCUAUCUUAUAUCAACGUUUAUUCUGAUUCUUUGGUCACAAAGAAUCAACAACCUUGUAUU
rnacentral:lncRNA from 1 species